rnacentral:lncRNA from 1 species
CAAGAAACGAAACUAAUUGCGGCCUUCAAAUCGAUGCACAGGAAGAAGAAGGACGUUUUAUUUUUACGAAAGAGGACGACGAUAGAUCGGAGGAGAAAGUCAAACGAUCUGAAGCGGUUCUUAGUUACGCAGGAAGACGAAAAGUGGAAGAUCGAGGUCGAUAAGCGUUGUCUAGAGAAGAAGAGAAGAGAAGAGAAGAGUACGAGGCCCUGUGUGCGGGAAGUUCAACCGGAGAGCGGAGAUCUCCGACAAUGAGACCGAAAAGGAAGAUAUAACUUUACUCUCAUCGUAAAAAGAUGUAUAAAAAUAUAAAGAUAGAAAGGAAAAAAGAGUAACAAAUAGAAAAAGAAAGAAA